GCACUGUCAUGGCGAGGAGGGUCAAAAAGAGGUAGAAGGCCAACAAACUCCCAGGGGCCACCAGGACUUUCUUUGGUUCCAGCAGCACCAUCAAUGUAGGUAAGUGCAGUCCUUUUACCAGUUGGAUUGAAGGGUAGGAAGUGAACUUCUUGGAUUCCGGCUCGUGCCUAUAGAAUUGUAGUAGAUACUCAGUUGAAUUCAAGUGAAAGAUUCAAGAACUCUUUGCAGACAACGAGGGAAACAACCAAAAUGCUGGUGAAGACAGUGUAAGACAGUGUAGAAGCAGUAAAUAUCUAAUACCUCCUUAGGGUCUGCCAACAUUGAAACAAUUGCAGCAUCAAUGGCAUCUUGGUUCUCUAACCUUGAUGCUCUUGCAGCCAUAAGUACA